CUGAACAGGUUGUGACUGUGUUUUGUUGUUUUCUGCAGGGAAUCCCUCUGACAUGACUGUCAUCAUCGUCAUUGUUGCAGUGGUUGUUCUUGCUCUCGUCGCCAUCGCUGUCAUUGGAUACUUCAUUUACAAAAAGAACAAAGCCAAACGCCCUCCAUCUCCUGUAAGCAACCCUGAAGUUUUGGAGGAGCUGAAUCCACAAGCCUAAAUGACAAACACGCCACCCUGAACACAGUUUAUGGAUAACUUUUGCACUAGAACGAGGAGCGGUGCCACAUCCUCCUCCGUAAACUGGGAAUUCAUUGAUUAUUCUUAAUCAUAUCAUAAACUGGAAGAAUCAGGGUUGGGAUUUGAAAAGUUUAAGCUUAUUGAUUGGAGUGCAAAGAAAAAUUAAUUAUUAUAAUUUGCCCUUGUUGAGAGACUAUUUAUACCAGUGGUUGAAUGUAACCAAGUACAUUUACUCCAAAACUGUACUUAACUACAAAUUCCAGGUACUUUACUUGUGUAUUUCCAUUUUUGUGCAACUCUAUACAUCUAAUCCACUACAUCUCAGAGGCAAAUACUGUAAUUUUUACUUCACUAUAUUUGCUUGAUGGCUUUAGUUACUUUUCAGAUUACAAUUUUAUAUACCCGUCCUUUCAGAUGAAAACCAUGUAUCUCCAAAUGUGUUGCUUUUUGAAUUUGAAUGUUUGUGAUAAACUGAAGGAGGAACAGUUCCUUCACAGUUCUCCUACUUCAUAAGCUAAAUAAAAAUCUAACCCCUUAGAUCAACUGAAAAUGCAUCGUCAACAUGCAACAUCAGGGAUGUUUUUCUUUUUAGAGAUAUGUGGUUCUCCCAGGACAGUAAUUAUAUAAAAUUAAAAUGAGCUCAACCGUAAACAUCUUCAGCAGUAAAAAGCAACAUACACAUUAAAGCAGCUACAGUAGUGAAACACUGUCAGGGAACAUUUUACUGCACAUUAAGUACUCUUGAUACUUUAAAUACAUUUUGCAGAUAAUACCUAAAUAUGUGUAGCAAGAAUUUGAAUGCAGGACCACUUUCUUAUAGUAGUUGCAGUUGUAGAAGUAUUUUCACUUCAAUAAAAGAUCUGAGUACUUCUCUUAACACUGAUUUUUCUGAGAAAGCCAUUUUUUGCUUCUCUUGUUGUAUUCGAUCUCUGGUGGCAGUACUGCGAAUCAAUGAGCAUCGUCCAAAAACAUGCUGGGUUAACUGGACACCUACUUCACUGUGGUGAAUUAGCUUAUGUUGUUUUUUUGUUUCAUAAUAUGUAUCUGAAAAAAUGGUUUGAAACAUUGAAGUUUAUUUUAGCUGAGAUUCUACAAGGGUUGUGGGAUGUUUUAAGCUUCUGAGCACACUGCUGAAAUGAUCUUGAAAAUAUUUAGGGGCAAUUUCUUUCUUAGUUUUGUAACCAUAUAAAACAUGUCUCACUUCUUGUCCAUGAGUUACAAGAUGAGUUGCCAUGCUAUAUCAUUAUUAUAUUCAUUUUGAUAAGUUUCACUACAUUUUGUUUUACUGCCUUUAUACUGUAAACGUUCUGAUCUUCAUUGAUAUGAAAGACACGUGUGUUCUUGUGAGUGUCACUCUUGUCUUCUGAUCACACUUUCUCAGGUACUUUACAAAUUCUGUGCUUAUUUUGAUGAGUUGACUAAAGUCAAUAAAGACACUGGAUCUGUG